UACAGAGGAGCCAAGCGUUGUCCGGAUUGACUGGGCGUAAAGCGCACGCAGGCGGUCGGGCGCGUGGGGUGUGAAAAUCUGGCCGCUUAACGGCCAGGCGCCAUCCCAUACGGCUCGACUGGAGUGAUGCAGAGGUCGAUGGAAUUGCCGGUGUAGUGGUGAAAUGCGUAGAGAUCGGCAGGAACACCCAGGGGGGAAACCAGUCGACUGGGCAUCUACUGACGCUGAGGUGCGAGAGCGUGGGGAGCGAACCGG
rnacentral:rRNA from 1 species